GCAUUAUCGUCAAGAAAGAGGGUUGAAGCCUAUGUGGCUAAGGUACAGCAGGAACUGGAGGAAAAAAUCACUAAAGAACUUGAAGAGGCCACUGCUGAACUUGAAACUGGAUCUGCUGGAGCUUCUCCCAUGGUAUCUACUGAUGGAUCUUCAGGAAAUGUCCAUGUUGACCAGGAUCCCCUUUGAAGGGCAAUACAGGAGUACCGUGAUGUUUUAGCCAAAAAUCAUCUGAUUUGAACAAAAUGCUAGGCAAAGGCUCGGGAAAUAAUUUUGUUUACAUCGCGCAUCUGUGGUUUCCCAUCCUUCAGAUUGUUCAGAUGUGAAAACGUGUUUUUUUUUUAUUAUCUGAAUAUAAAUGCUAAGUCUAUUAAAUGGAUGUCAAGCACGUUGCACUUACCUGAUGGUUUAUUGAUGCACAGUUGUUUUAUUUUGCACUCACACUAAGAACCAUAUCUAUUUUUUCUGACUGGCAGAUUGACUACUCUUGACUCUUGAGCUUGACAGAACUGUCAAAAUGUUUCUUAUUAAGAACCACAGAAUGGGUGAGGUUGGAAGGGACCUCUGGAGGUCAUCUGGUCCAGCCCCCCUGCUCAAGGAGGACCACCUAGAGACGGUUGCCCAGGACCGUGUUGUCUUUUGAGUAUCUCCAAGGAUGGAGACUCCACAGCCUCCGCGGGCAAUGCUGGGUCACCCUCACGGUGAAAAAGUGUUUCCUGAUGUUCAGACAGAACCUCCUGUGUUUCAGUUUGUGCCCAUUGCCUCUCAUGGUAUUCAUGUUGAUUGUUGUAUUAAAAAUUGCUGCAGCUUUAGACAUUUGCAGUUCCUACAUCAACACCCGUGGUGCACCUGAAACACUUCGUGUGGGGAAAA